AUGAACGCUAGCUACAGGCUUAACACAUGCAAGUCGAGGGGCAGCGGGAUUGAAGCUUGCUUCAAUUGCCGGCGACCGGCGCACGGGUGAGUAACGCGUAUCCAACCUUCCGCUUACUCGGGGAUAGCCUUUCGAAAGAAAGAUUAAUACCCGAUGGUAUCUUAAGCACGCAUGAGAUUAAGAUUAAAGAUUCAUCGGUAAGCGAUGGGGAUGCGUUCCAUUAGGCAGUUGGCGGGGUAACGGCCCACCAAACCUACGAUGGAUAGGGGUUCUGAGAGGAAGGUCCCCCACAUUGGAACUGAGACACGGUCCAAACUCCUACGGGAGGCAGCAGUGAGGAAUAUUGGUCAAUGGGCGAGAGCCUGAACCAGCCAAGUAGCGUGAAGGAUGACGGCCCUACGGGUUGUAAACUUCUUUUGUGCGGGAAUAAAGGAGCCUACGUGUAGGCUUUUGCAUGUACCGUAACGAAUAAGCAUCGGCUAACUCCGUGCCAGCAGCCGCGGUAAUACGGAGGAUGCGAGCGUUAUCCGGAUUUAUUGGGUUUAAAGGGAGCGUAGACGGGUUUUUAAGUCAGCUGUGAAAGUUUGGGGCUCAACCUUAAAAUUGCAGUUGAAACUGGAGACCUUGAGUACGGUUGAGGCAGGCGGAAUUCGUGGUGUAGCGGUGAAAUGCUUAGAUAUCACGAAGAACCCCGAUUGCGAAGGCAGCCUGCUAAGCCGCCACUGACGUUGAGGCUCGAAAGUGCGGGUAUCAAACAGGAUUAGAUACCCUGGUAGUCCGCACGGUAAACGAUGGAUACUCGCUGUUGGCGAUAGACGGUCAGCGGCCAAGCGAAAGCGUUAAGUAUCCCACCUGGGGAGUACGCCGGCAACGGUGAAACUCAAAGGAAUUGACGGGGGCCCGCACAAGCGGUGGAGCAUGUGGUUUAAUUCGAAGCAACGCGAAGAACCUUACCAGGUCUUGACAUCCUCUGACAACCCUAGAGAUAGGGCUUCUCCUUCGGGAGCAGAGUGACAGGUGGUGCAUGGUUGUCGUCAGCUCGUGUCGUGAGAUGUUGGGUUAAGUCCCGCAACGAGCGCAACCCUUGCUGCCAGUUACUAACAGGUCAUGCUGAGGACUCUGGCAGGACUGCCAUCGUAAGAUGCGAGGAAGGUGGGGAUGACGUCAAAUCAGCACGGCCCUUACGUCCGGGGCUACACACGUGUUACAAUGGGGAGUACAGAGGGCAGCUACCGGGCGACCGGAUGCGAAUCCCGAAAGCUCCUCUCAGUUCGGACUGGAGUCUGCAACCCGACUCCACGAAGCUGGAUUCGCUAGUAAUCGCGCAUCAGCCACGGCGCGGUGAAUACGUUCCCGGGCCUUGUACACACCGCCCGUCACACCAUGAGAGUUGGGGAUACCCGAAGCCUGUGAGCCAACAGUUAAAUGAGGCAGCAGUCGAAGGUAGAAUCAAUGAUUGGGGUG
rnacentral:rRNA from 1 species